GCGGAUGAAGGGAGCUUGCUCCUGGAUUCAGCGGCGGACGGGUGAGUAAUGCCUAGGAAUCUGCCUGGUAGUGGGGGAUAACGUCCGGAAACGGGCGCUAAUACCGCAUACGUCCUGAGGGAGAAAGUGGGGGAUCUUCGGACCUCACGCUAUCAGAUGAGCCUAGGUCGGAUUAGCUAGUUGGUGGGGUAAAGGCCUACCAAGGCGACGAUCCGUAACUGGUCUGAGAGGAUGAUCAGUCACACUGGAACUGAGACACGGUCCAGACUCCUACGGGAGGCAGCAGUGGGGAAUAUUGGACAAUGGGCGAAAGCCUGAUCCAGCCAUGCCGCGUGUGUGAAGAAGGUCUUCGGAUUGUAAAGCACUUUAAGUUGGGAGGAAGGGCAGUAAGUUAAUACCUUGCUGUUUUGACGUUACCAACAGAAUAAGCACCGGCUAACUUCGUGCCAGCAGCCGCGGUAAUACGAAGGGUGCAAGCGUUAAUCGGAAUUACUGGGCGUAAAGCGCGCGUAGGUGGUUCAGCAAGUUGGAUGUGAAAUCCCCGGGCUCAACCUGGGAACUGCAUCCAAAACUACUGAGCUAGAGUACGGUAGAGGGUGGUGGAAUUUCCUGUGUAGCGGUGAAAUGCGUAGAUAUAGGAAGGAACACCAGUGGCGAAGGCGACCACCUGGACUGAUACUGACACUGAGGUGCGAAAGCGUGGGGAGCAAACAGGAUUAGAUANCCUGGUAGUCCACGCCGUAAACGAUGUCGACUAGCCGUUGGGAUCCUUGAGAUCUUAGUGGCGCAGCUAACGC
rnacentral:rRNA from 1 species